GUGCUUGCUUUGGCAGCACAUAUACUAAAAUUGGAACAAUACAGAGAUUAGCAUGGUCCCUGUGCAAGGAUGACACUAAAAUUCGAGAAUUGUUCCAUAUUUUA